rnacentral:lncRNA from 1 species
GGGCGCCCCCCGCGGAAUAGAGGCAGGCCCGUGUGGACUAGAAAGAUGCAGCUAGAAUUUCUAGCCACUGCUUGAUUGUAUUGUAUGAUACCAACUUUUUGUGCCUAUGAAUUCCCAGCAAGUUCUACACACCAAGGACGGCAUUAACUCACCUAUAUGCUUGCAGGCAGCAUUUGCCCUUUGAUCAAAGCUUGCAAAGAUACUCAUGAGAGAUAUCUUCCAAAACUGCUUCAGAGAGAUUAAAGUCAGAGCCAGCAGAGAGACAUUGAAGACUUCAGUAGAGCUCACCAAAACCUUCGCAGAGCAGCCUGAUCCCCGGCGAAACUAUUCAGUUCAGCAGAGGCAGACUUUCAGGCGGGAAAAGGGCGGAAACAAAGGAAACUCACUGAGAAAGUAACAGCAAGACCUAGGUAAAGUGGCAAUUCUGAUUCAGUGACAUGUACACAGUAUCUCAUUUUCUAGAUUUAACAAGCUCAUAUAAAAUGACUAAAUAAGGACUGUAAUCUGAUCAAAUACAACAGUUAAACUGAAAGUUCAUUUUACUGGAAAAUGUUAAAAAUCAGAUUUAUUUUUAAUGCAAUGAAUGCUACAUGCCUGCUAGAAGGAAAUAUUAUUUAAUAUGUGCAACAUAAUAAAUUUCCUCACUGAGGAACA